AGAGUUUGAUCCUGGCUCAGGAUGAACGCUGGCGGCGUGCUUAACACAUGCAAGUCGAACGAUGAACCUCACUUGUGGGGGGAUUAGUGGCGAACGGGUGAGUAACACGUGAGUAACCUGCCCUUAACUCUGGGAUAAGCCUGGGAAACUGGGUCUAAUACCGGAUAUGACUCCUCAUCGCAUGGUGGGGGGUGGAAAGCUUUUUGUGGUUUUGGAUGGACUCGCGGCCUAUCAGCUUGUUGGUGAGGUAAUGGCUUACCAAGGCGACGACGGGUAGCCGGCCUGAGAGGGUGACCGGCCACACUGGGACUGAGACACGGCCCAGACUCCUACGGGAGGCAGCAGUGGGGAAUAUUGCACAAUGGGCGCAAGCCUGAUGCAGCGACGCCCGCGUGAGGG
rnacentral:rRNA from 1 species